GGAGAGAUGGCUGAGCUGGUCUAAGGCGCACGACUGGAAAUCGUGUAACGGCUAAUACCCGUUCCAGGGUUCGAAUCCCUGUCUCUCCGCCA
rnacentral:tRNA from 1 species